rnacentral:rRNA from 1 species
UACGUAGGGGGCGAGCGUUGUCCGGAUUUAUUGGGCGUAAAGAGCUCGUAGGCGGCUUGGCAAGUCGGGUGUGAAACCUCCAGGCUACAACCCGUGGAGACGCCCACUCGAUACUGCGUAUGGCUAGAGUCCGGUAGGGGGACCACGGAAGUUCCUGGUGUAGCGGUGAAAUGCGCAGAUAUCAGGAGGAACACCGGUGGCGGAAGGCGGCUCUCUGGGACGGUACUGACGCUGAGACGCGAAAGCGUGGGGAGCGAACAGG